rnacentral:lncRNA from 1 species
CUCCCGCCGUGUGCCCACGGUGGCACGGAGUCCUUCUGAAGCUGAGCGGGCUGGGCUGCCUGGUUCUGCUGGUGCUGGUGGUGCUGGUGGCGGUGCUCAGUGUGCAGGGUGAGUAAAACCCACUUGAAAACAAGUCCAAAACCCAAGCGAGCACAAGGGAAAUUGCACUUUUUAUUUAUUUAUUUUUAUUAUUUUUUAUUUUUCUCACCAAGGGGAGGUCAGGGUUCUAUCCCAGGAACUGGGAUAGUGAUACUGUUUGGGUGGGGACGAUUUUGCCCCAUGUGGACAAGAGUAAAUCCCCUCUCAAAACAAACACACAAACACAAAACAAAAAAAAAAAAAAUAAAAAUAAGGCAACAACAACCAAAAAAAGGGCAACAUUUCUACGCUAUUGCAAAAGUUGUGUUAUAACCAGAAAAGGCGCUUGCAAAAUAGCUCGGGGAACCGAACUCAGCCCUGCUCGGUUUUCACAAUGUUGCCCCCAAACAGCCUCAAUCUCACCCCAAAAUUUUAUCUCUAAGUUUUUCAGAAGGCGCCGACACCUCCCAACGCUCUGCAGAACAAGAGCGAGGCCGGGGGAAGGAGCAGGACAGAGGUGUGCGCGAUUUCCUCCCUGCAGCGCUACUUCUGCCACUGGAACGGCUCCACAGACCACGGGGGCUGCAAGCUGUGCCCCCCGUCUUGGCAGCUUUCGGGAGACCAGUGCUACCAGGUUUCCAAAUCAACUGGGAAUUGGACGGAAGGCAAAAAAGACUGCGAAAGUCGGGGGUCCCAUCUGGCCGUGUUCCGAAACACCACCGAUAUGGAGCACUUAA